GAUGAACGCUGGCGGCGUGCCUAAUACAUGCAAGUCGAGCGAACAGAUGAGGAGCUUGCUCCUCUGACGUUAGCGGCGGACGGGUGAGUAACACGUGGAUAACCUACCUAUAAGACUGGGAUAACUUCGGGAAACCGGAGCUAAUACCGGAUAAUAUAUUGAACCGCAUGGUUCAAUAGUGAAAGACGGUUUUGCUGUCACUUAUAGAUGGAUCCGCGCCGCAUUAGCUAGUUGGUAAGGUAACGGCUUACCAAGGCAACGAUGCGUAGCCGACCUGAGAGGGUGGUCGGCCACACUGGAACUGAGACACGGUCAAGACUCCUACGGGAGGCAGCAGUAGGGAAUCUUCCGCAAUGGGCGAAAGCUUGACGGAGCAACGCCGCGUGAGUGAUGAAGGUCUUCGGAUCGUAAAACUCUGUUAUUAGGGAAGAACAAAUGUGUAAGUAACUAUGCACGUCUUGACGGUACCUAAUCAGAAAGCCACGGCUAACUACGUG
rnacentral:rRNA from 1 species